GUGGGGAGUGGAGAAGAGUGAGCUUCAGGCUCUGUCCUAGUUUCCCCAGGUUAACAACUCAGCUGCAAAAUGGGACUCUUUAUCUGCCUUCCAAUGCAGGGGAUGUGGGUUUGACCCCUGGUUGAGGAACUAAGAUCCCACAUGCCAUGGAGCAAGUGAGCCCAUGCCCUGUAACUUGUUAACUCAUGAGCCACAACUAGAGGAGCCUGUGCACCAAAACGAAGACCCAGCACAGCCAAAAAACGGAGCUCUUAGUGCCCCCUCCCGGGGAGAAGAACAGGGACCAUGCGUUGAGCAUCCGUUGUAUACCAGAACCCCGGUCCAGGGCUGCUUCAGGGGGCCACUGGCCCCUGCCCUCGUAGGACACUGCCAAGUCCGCUGCAUCCAUAGCGUGGGGCCAGGAAGAAAGAGAAAGAAAGAAAGAAAAUCACAUAGAGAAUGCUCAGGGAGCGUGACAAGCUCCACUGAUGGCACAAGGGCCCAGAGAAAGUGAUGAGUCUGAGACGGGGUGCUGGAGGGUUGUGAUGGAGGGUGCAGCUUCUGCACUCUGGAAGAUGCCUGCAUCCCUCCCACAAAGUGGCUCAGCUGCCCGAAGUCACCUCUUCCAGCCAUCCGGGAACAGAGGCAUGCACACCUGCCUUUAAAGGAUCCUGCAUCCCAGCUGUAGGAAUGUGAGCACAUCGCACGAACUCUCUGAACUUGAGUGCCAGCAACCAGGACAUUGGUUCUACUUCCCAGAGCUGGCUCCUUCACCUCCACCCUCCAGGCCUUGGACUUCCUACUGGGACCUCGCCCUCAGCAGUGGGUCACUGGCAUGGCCCUGAGGCCCCCACAUUCAGCAUGGAGCCUGGCCAACAGCAGCCUCGUGGUCUUUGAAGAUAAUAAAUUAAUAAACAAGUGCCCCUCCCUGACGCUCAGCA
ensembl:lncRNA